rfam:Enterococcus sp. 7F3_DIV0205 scaffold00002, whole genome shotgun sequence.
UUAAUGGAAAGAAAUCAAAAUCUCUCGCAUCUUUUGACGCAACUGCUGCACUUAAGACAACUGUCUCUCCAUAACGAACUAAUACUGCGCCGUUUGCUUGUUUCGCUAAUUGGCCGAUUUCAACUUGUAAAGGACGUCCGCCCCAAGUUGUUUUGAACACUUGUUUUUCUGACAUAUAUCUCUUCUCCUUUGAUUCUUCGGAAAAGUGAGACUACUACUAAACAAAUGAAAAGAUUCAAAAGAAUUGAGUCCUUUUAUUUGGUUAGUAGAUUCAUUCAAACUUUCCAAAG